ACCCGCUGAACUUAAGCAUAUCAAUAAGCGGAGGAAAAGAAACCAACAGGGAUUGCCCCAGUAACGGCGAGUGAAGCGGCAACAGCUCAAAUUUGAAAUCUGGUCCCCUCUGGGGGCCCGAGUUGUAAUUUGAAGAGGAUGCUUCUGGCAAGGUGCCGUCCGAGUUCCCUGGAACGGGACGCCAUAGAGGGUGAGAGCCCCGUACGGUCGGACGCCGAGCCUCUGUGAAGCUCCUUCGACGAGUCGAGUAGUUUGGGAAUGCUGCUCAAAAUGGGAGGUAAACCCCUUCUAAAGCUAAAUACCGGCCAGAGACCGAUAGCGCACAAGUAGAGUGAUCGAAAGAUGAAAAGCACUUUGAAAAGAGAGUUAAAAAGCACGUGAAAUUGUUGAAAGGGAAGCGCUUGCGACCAGACUUGCGCCCGUCGGAUCAGCCGUCGCUUGCGGCGGUGCACUCCGGCGGGCUCAGGCCAGCAUCGGUUCGCCUGGGGGGAGAAAGGCGGUGGGAAUGUGGCUCUUCGGAGUGUUAUAGCCCGCCGCGUAAUACCCUCGGGCGGACCGAGGACCGCGCGUAUGCAAGGAUGCUGGCGUAAUGGUCGUCAGCGACCCGUCUUGAAACACGGACCAAGGAGUCGUCCUAAUAUGCGAGUGUACGGGUGUCAAACCCCUGCGCGUAAUGAAAGUGAACGGAGGUGAGAGCUUCGGCGCAUCAUCGACCGAUCCUGAUGUUCUCGGAUGGAUUUGAGUAAGAGCAUAUUGGGCCGGACCCGAAAGAAGGUGAACUAUGCCUGUGUAGGGUAAAGCCAGAGGAAACUCUGGUGGAGGCUCGCAGCGGUUCUGACGUGCAAAUCGAUCBUCAAACAUGGGCAUGGGGGCGAAAGACUAAUCGAACCUUCUAGUAGCUGGUUUCCGCCGAAGUUUCCCCUCAGGAA
rnacentral:sRNA from 1 species